GAUGAAGAACGUAGCGAAAUGCGAUACUUGGUGUGAAUUGCAGAAUCCCGUGAACCAUCGAGUCUUUGAACGCAAGUUGCGCCCGAAGCCAUUAGGCCGAGGGCACGCCUGCCUGGGCGUCACACGUCGUUGCCCCCCCAUCUACUCCUUCGGGAUUGCGGGGGGCGGAUGAUGGCCUCCCGUGCGCCUCGUCGCGCGGUUGGCCUAAAUGCCAAGUCCUCGGCGACGCACGCCACGACAAUCGGUGGUUGCGAAACCUCGGUUGCCUGUCGUGUGCGGUCGUCGCGCAUCGAGGGCUCGAAAAAAUUGCCGGGCUCCGGCUCGGCUUUCAACGCGACCCCAGGUCAGGCGGGGUUACCCGCUGAAUUUAAGCAUAUCAAUAAGCGGAGGA
rnacentral:misc_RNA from 1 species